rnacentral:rRNA from 1 species
AUUGAACGCUGGCGGCAGGCUUAACACAUGCAAGUCGAGCGGGGUGAUGGUGCUUGCACUAUCACUUAGCGGCGGACGGGUGAGUAAUGCUUAGGAAUCUGCCUAUUAGUGGGGGACAACAUCUCGAAAGGGAUGCUAAUACCGCAUACGUCCUACGGGAGAAAUCAGGGGAUCACUUGUGACCUUGCGCUAAUAGAUGAGCCUAAGUCGGAUUAGCUAGUUGGUGGGGUAAAGGCCUACCAAGGCGACGAUCUGUAGCGGGUCUGAGAGGAUGAUCCGCCACACUGGGACUGAGACACGGCCCAGACUCCUACGGGAGGCAGCAGUGGGGAAUAUUGGACAAUGGGGGGAACCCUGAUCCAGCCAUGCCGCGUGUGUGAAGAAGGCCUUAUGGUUGUAAAGCACUUUAAGCGAGGAGGAGGCUCUUUUGGUUAAUACCCAAGAUGAGUGGACAUUACUCGCAGAAUAAGCACCGGCUAACUCUGUGCCAGCAGCCGCAGUAA